GUGGUGGAAAACCGCAGAGUUAAAAGGGUUUUCAAGACCAAUCAUUCUCAGCAUCGUUUUCUUUUUUGAGGGGAACUGCCCUGGAGCAAGCAAAUAUAAUUUGCAGUAUUUAUGUGUGUAUGUAUAGCUUCUUGACAAAAGGCUAAAGACAGAAAGCAAAGAGGGGGGAUAAAAGCAAUCUUCAAAUGGCAUCUGUAGUCGAGGAGCACUUGAACCCAAUCAGCACCCGUCAGACCCAAAUGGACCACAGGAGCGGUUUUGUGCAGGAGCCAAAGCUGUGACAGAAAGCAAAGAGAAGAGGAGAAGAGAAGAGAAGAGAAGAGAAGAGAAGAGAAGAGAAGAGAAGAGAAGAGAAGAGAAAAUGAGGACCAAGCCAAACAGAUGGAUCACCGCAUCAGCUUCCCUACAACAUUCCAGUGGAGGGAAGUCCAUUAAGCAGAGACUGAGUCUUGUUAUGAAAGAGGAACUGAAUCUGGUAUUUCUAAUGCCUCUUUUGCCUUUCUCUUUUGUUUUCUGCGUCGCUCUCAUCAUCUCAAUUUACAUAACAUCACUAAGCUCUUUCUCUGCAGUGGCUGUCCUACAUGUUUCACUUGCAGGAGUGCAACUGAGACAUUAUACAAAAUACAUGUAAGACUAUGUUUGCUUAAGAGUGUUUCUGCGUGUUACACACAAUAUUUUAUUGCAAAUAUGGGUUGUAGCUUAUAUUAUGUGUGAAUGUGCAAGACAUGAACUCAUCACUGCUAAUAGGAUACAUCUGUGCAAUGACAAAUUAAUGAGAUCCGUGUCAAGGCAUUAAUAAAGUGGAUUUACUGGUAACUUUUGAGAUCAGCCUUUAGGGUGAACUGUCAUCAUACAGGAGCUAAUUUCACACAUACUGUUGGUUUUCAAUAUAGAUGGCUUCAAACUGUCCACUCACAGUACAUUUAAUAAAUGAAAAAAAAACCUGUAAUAAAUACUUUAAUGUGGAGAAACAACAGAAAUUUGCUUUGAAUUUUUACAGUCAGAACAUGCCCAUUGUAUGAAAACAGACCUUUUUGUGGUUUACCGUAUCUUGUGACAUAUGAACAUUCUCUGGCUACUUUAUUAAAUAGGUCUGUUCAAUUGUUCAUUAACAUAAAUAUCUUAUGAGCCAACUGCAUGGCACCAGCUUGAUCCAUUUAUGCAUGUAGACAUGGUCAAGAUGACCUGGUGCAAAUAAAAAAAUAGAUCCAUUAACAGGAAAAUAUCAGGAUUUCUUUUUUAAAUAUAGGGUUUAUGACUGCAAGACUAAAUCCACUAUUAUUUCACACACAAAGCGGAUAAUAGGCAUAACAUUGUAGAAGACUAUAAUUUUUUUUCUGUAGGUGUUCUUGCAGUCCACUCUUGUAUUUCUGGAUCGGAAUUCAAAGCUACUCUAGUGAAGUUGUAGAAAUAAAAACAUGAAAAGUGCCCAUACAUAGAUGCUUGGUUGAGUUUUAUACUCAGUAUUUCUCAGAAAAAGGUGCCAACAAGACACUUCUUUACUCAUAAAAAUAUGCACAAUCACUUGUAUGUUUUGUUUGUUUUAAUCUGAACCUUAAACUUUUUUUGUUGGGAUUUCAAGACUUUUCUGUUUAUUACUGCUAUCACUUAAUUGCUUAAAGGAUUUCCACUAGCGGUAGAAUGUAAAUUGCACAUUUGUAUGUUUAUACAUACGUUCAUCUAUCAGCGUGUGCAAUAGAAAAAUAGCAGACACCUACUGAAAAAGACAGCAGUUUGCAAGUUGUCAGAAACUCUGCAGGGUAGCUUUAGGAUAUAAAGUUGUGAUGGCAAAAAGUUGUGAUGGGACUGCAAUGUUUCAAAGGCGCUGACAAACAACUUACAGUAUUUUAUCAUACAGGGAUGACUUGGUUGUAUAAUCCUGUGCAAAGAAGCAUUAUCUAAUAAGUCUAACUUCAGGAGUUAAAAAUGUCUCUGAGAGUCUUACAGGUUGCACUAAGGUAAAGUUUCUGCACUCAACUGCCAAUACACAUUGUUCUUUCCUUGAAAAUACAGAAGGUUCUCGUCUUUGUCAGUGCAAUGAAUCCCCCUAGUUGGUUGGGGCAUCCUCCUAGCAAAGCACAUCACUCACAGGUGAAAAGAAGCAGCUGGCAGCAUCAUGUGUCAUAGUGGUAGCACAUGUCACACCCCCCUCAGGCUGACAGUAGGGUUUGUAGUAUUGGAAAAGUGCAAGACUCAGGCAAUGUGCCAUUUCCAAUUGGCAGAAAAACUGAGAAAAAUCCCCUAAAUGAAUGGUCUAUAUGCAAUGCAGAUCAUGCAAAAAGGAGUUCAAAUGAGAUAUUGCUCUAAUAUCUUGUGUACAGUGUUUCUGCAAGCAACAAAUGCAUACAGUGUCUGACACACACAGAGAUGUGUAGAUUCGCCUGAGCCAGCCCAGCGUGAGGCACUUUUCAUGUGAAUGAUUUUCUCCUUCUCAGGGUGGUGUUUUUGGAUCUUGGGGAUUAGCUAUGUUAGUUGGUUAGCAGACACUCUGUUGUCCCUGCUCCCUCAUGAGAAAGGCCAAGCUUCAGUGACAUCCGCCAAUAAGACCUCCACUGGCCCCUGUUGCAGUCGACACAAACCACUGCCUUCCCUCUGGCCAAAAGCUUGACCAGUGCUGAUUUCCUUCCUCACUCUGCAGUCAUUUAUGACUCUGCCUCAUGUUAUCAUAGCCCCCAGGUGAAGCCAUGCUUCCCUGGAACGAAAGUGGGAGGGAGAGGCUGAUAAGGGAGUGAUGGAGGGAGAAAGACAGAAAAGAAGAGAAAGAAAUGAGUGUGGAAAAAGGGAAGUGAGCUUUGAAUGUGAAGAUUUUAAAAUCUCAUCAGAGAUCCUAGAUGCCAUUCCACCUAUCCAUUUUCUUCCACUUAGUGAAUUCAGAGUCAUGGGGGAGGUAAGCCUAUCCCAGCUACUAAGAACAUCCUAGCUGUUAUUUUUUUCUCCUCCUCUGUCAUUCAUUGUAGUAUGGUGUAGCUGCAGCAUCAAUAAACAAAUUAAAUGACUUGCAUUUUUUUUCUUCAGAUGUAAACAAAACUAUAUGCUUUACCAUGUAAAUAAAAUACAUUCAGGAAGCGCAAUAGUCACGUUGCCAUGGAAUCAGUUUGAGAAAUUGGGUGUUUCUGUACAGUAUGUCUGUAUGUACUGUAAGUAUUCUUCUUUCUGAGAGAUAAAGAGUGUGUCACACUUUGAGCAUUGCUGCAGAUAUAAAUAUUCUUUUCUGUUUCCCAAUCAGUUCCUAUGAUGACUUCUAUAUAGUAGCUAAUAAUCUUCCUCAUUUUCUUUUUUGUGCCUUCUUCCCUGAGUGAAGCAGAUGAUAGUUAUAUUUGUAUAAAAACUUGAACAUGUUUAGAGACCAUCCACAGGCCAGGGGUCGUUUUGUAAUGGAGUGAGCUGCAGUAUCCCUGUUGCAAGAUCCAUUUUGCUUUCCUUCCUAAAUCCUACCAUGUAGCCCAUAAUAAUAAGAUGUCAGGAGACAGUUCACAAAUGCACGCCCAAAAGAAGAAUUUCACUCCAAGUAUUUUACAAAUAAACCUCAUGCUCUUUGCACAGAUAUGCACACUAAGGUAGCUGACAUUUGUCUGGGUAUGUUUGAACAAUAUUAGACUUUUUACCCAUCCAGCAUUUCAAAUGGUAGAUUAACUGGUAUGUGUGUGAACAUUUAUAAAGAAAUGAGAUCAGACUAAUACAAGAAAAGAUCUCGGAGGAUGACUUGUGUUUGACGGAUUAUCAAAGAAUUAUAUCCCACUAAAUUCUCAAUCUUUACUUUAACCUUUUACAAAAUAUUAGUCAAAUUCAAUAACUUUUAAUGGCCUUCACCUUCCUGGGAGAUAAUGUUGAUUAAAAACAACAACAAAAGAAAAAGGGAAUUACUAUACAGUGUGAGCCACAAUCAAUCUUGCAUCUAUU